rnacentral:misc_RNA from 1 species
AUGAACCUUGGGUGGUGGCAUCAUUGUUACGUGAUCAUCUUCUAUCGCCCAAGGAAAGAAAAGAUCCAAUGUUAUGGAAAAAGGUUGAGCAGCUGGUUCAAGAAGAUUCUCGUCUAGAGAGAUAUCCAAAGAUGGUAAAAGGUGAAUGUAAGGUGGUCUGGGAGUGGCAAGUUGAGGGUUCUUUAAGCUCUUCGGGCAAGAGGAAGAAGGCCAAGGAAAUCAGGCUAGCAUCAGGUCAACAUACAAAUCUCUCUACUCAGCAAAGAAACUGGCCAUGGAAGGCCAAGGAGCCUGUGAAAUGCUGAGCUUUUAUCCUACAAUUGUGCCGCGUGUUUUUAGAUUGUUGUAUAGUAGUACCAUUCAUCUGGCAAAAUGCAGUUCCCAGUGUCACGCACUUAGGUACAUGAUACACAUCUCAGAAUAGCCUUGUUAAUCUAAUUAUUAGUCUUGUCUGCAUCAGAAAACACAAGAAUUUUGUCAAUAACACAAUUCAUGUGGAAGCUUCAUUGUCCUUUAAAUGUGCUUUCUUUCUGUCACAUUUCUGUAUCACAUUGUGUUUGAUUUAUGAUUAGAU